rnacentral:rRNA from 1 species
GAUGAACGCUGGCGGCGUGCCUAAUACAUGCAAGUCGAGCGAACAGACGAGGAGCUUGCUCCUCUGACGUUAGCGGCGGACGGGUGAGUAACACGUGGAUAACCUACCUAUCAGACUGGGAUAACUUCGGGAAACCGGCGCUAAUACCGGAUAAUAUAUUGAACCGCAUGGUUCAAUAGUGAAAGACGGUUUUGCUGUCACUUAUAGAUGGAUCCGCGCCGCAUUAGCUAGUUGGUAAGGUAACGGCUUACCAAGGCAACGAUGCGUAGCCGACCUGAGAGGGUGAUCGGCCACACUGGAACUGAGACACGGUCCAGACUCCUACGGGAGGCAGCAGUAGGGAAUCUUCCGCAAUGGGCGAAAGCCUGACGGAGCAACGCCGCGUGAGUGAUGAAGGUCUUCGGAUCGUAAAACUCUGUUAUUAGGGAAGAACAAAUGUGUAAGUAACUAUGCACGUCUUGACGGUACCUAAUCAGAAAGCCACGGCUAACUACGUG